rnacentral:rRNA from 1 species
UACGUAGGGGCAAGCGUUAUCCGGAUUUACUGGGUGUAAAGGGCGUGUAGGCGGGUUUGCAAGUCGGGUGUGAAAGCCCACGGCUUAACCGUGGAGGGUCAUUGGAAACUGGUCGACUUGAGUGCAGAAGAGGGAAGUGGAAUUCCAUGUGUAGCGGUGAAAUGCGUAGAUAUAUGGAGGAACACCAGUGGCGAAGGCGACUUUCUGGUCUAUUAUUGACGCUGAGGCUCGAAAGCAUGGGUAGCAAACAGGAUUAGAUACCCUGGUAGUCCCU